GACGAACGCUGGCGGCGUGCUUAACACAUGCAAGUCGAACGGAAAGGCCCUGCUUUUGUGGGGUGCUCGAGUGGCGAACGGGUGAGUAACACGUGAGUAACCUGCCCUUGACUUUGGGAUAACUUCAGGAAACUGGGGCUAAUACCGGAUAGGAUCUCCUGCUCCAUGGUGGGGGUUGGAAAUUUUCGGCGGUUGGGGAUGGACUCGCGGCUUAUCAGCUUGUUGGUGGGGUAGUGGCUUACCAAGGCUUUGACGGGUAGCCGGCCUGAGAGGGUGACCGGCCACAUUGGGACUGAGAUACGGACCAGACUCCUACGGGAGGCAGCAGUGGGGAAUAUUGCACAAUGGGCGGAAGCCUGAUGCAGCAACGCCGCGUGCGGGAUGACGGCCUUCGGGUUGUAAACCGCUUUCGCCUGUGACGAAGCGUGAGUGACGGUAAUGGGUAAAGAAGCACCGGCUAACUACGUG
rnacentral:rRNA from 1 species